CUCGUGAGAGACUGUGCGAAGGAAGCCCGAGUGCAAAGGUGCGAGCCGACGAACAGAUACUGCAUACAAGGCCAAGUCCUCGGGGCGAGCGGGCCAAUGAUCGCAAAGCCUCAUGGUUCAGGAGAUACGGUAAAUGCAGCGGUUGUGCACUGACAGUUCA
rnacentral:ncRNA from 1 species